GGCUACAGGAAGGAGGUGAGACCCUCAGGAGAAUGCUGCUUCCUGAACACGGAGGAACCAGGAGGGAAAUGCUGGUGCCCUGCCCGGCAGCUACUUUCAGGCGCCAUUUCUAUGGCCAAUGAAGGGAUUUGGAGCCCAACUGGGGAGACAGGUUGUGAGCAAGAAGAAGCUGUGAAUCCUGCCCCAUUUCCAGACAACAUGGACGCUGCAGCCAAGGCCCACAGAUGAAUAUGCAGUUCUGGAGGCCAGAAGACCAAAAUCAAGGCAUCAGCGGGCCUGUGCUCUCCCCAGAGGCACCAGGGGAGAUGCUGUCCCUACCACCUCUGCCCGCUUCUGCUGGCUGCCAGCGUUCCUUGGCUAUGGCUGCACCACUCCAGUCUCUGACUCUGUGGUCGCAUUGCCCUUUCUUCUUUCUACAUCAAAUCUGCCUCUGAUCCCUCUUGUAAGGAUACGAGUGAUUGGCCCCCGCAUAACACAGAAUAACCUCCCUAGGUCCAAGUCCUACACUAUAUCUGUAAAGGCUCCUUUUCUAAUAAGGUAAUAUUUACAGGUCCCAAGAAUUAGA